rnacentral:rRNA from 1 species
UACGUAGGGCGCGAGCGUUGUCCGGAAUCAUUGGGCGUAAAGAGCUCGUAGGCGGCCUGUCGCGUCUGCUGUGAAAUCCCGGGGCUCAACCCCGGGCGUGCAGUGGAUACGGGCUGGCUGGAGGCAGGCAGGGGAGAACGGAAUUCCCGGUGUAGCGGUGAAACGCGCAGAUAUCGGGAGGAACACCGGUGGCGAAGGCGGUUCUCUGGGCCUGUACUGACGCUGAGGAGCGAAAGCGUGGGGAGCGAACAGG